CCUACGGGGGGCAGCAGUGAGGAAUAUUGGUCAAUGGACGAGAGUCUGAACCAGCCAAGUAGCGUGAAGGAUGACUGCCCUAUGGGUUGUAAACUUCUUUUAUAUGGGAAUAAAAUGUUCCACGUGUGGGAUUUUGUAUGUACCAUAUGAAUAAGGAUCGGCUAACUCCGUGCCAGCAGCCGCGGUAAUACGGAGGAUCCGAGCGUUAUCCGGAUUUAUUGGGUUUAAAGGGAGCGUAGGUGGAUUGUUAAGUCAGUUGUGAAAGUUUGCGGCUCAACCGUAAAAUUGCAGUUGAAACUGGCAGUCGUGAGUACAGUAGAGGUAGGCGGAAUUCGUGGUGUAGCGGUGAAAUGCUUAGAUAUCACGAAGAACUCCGAUUGCGAAGGCAGCUCACUGGACUGCAACUGACACUGAGGCUCGAAAGUGUGGGUAUCAAACAGGAUUAGAUACCCCUGUAGUC
rnacentral:rRNA from 1 species